AGAGCCCAGUAGCUGCGUCUUAACCCGUUCAGGUUUUGGGAUGAUAUUUAGUUAGUGCCCCUUUGCCAACCCUGCAUUGUUGUUACGUCGCCGCGUACUUACCGAUGGAAGUGUGGACGAAGACGCUGUUAGACAUCAAGGCAUGAAAUAAAAUUUUAACCUGGUGGUAAAAAGCCCAAAUUUACAGAUGCCACUGUCAACCCCCAGCAAGUUUUUCAGCUUCUUCAUAUCGGCGACAAUGCUGUUGGAGUCGAUGUUGUCAUAUAGAGUCUUUGAUGUAAUUGUCUGACUGAAGAUCAUAACCAAUUUUUGGUGCAUGGGCGUUCCACUUAAAACGAGGCAAAUGAGAGUGAAAUGCGAAAAUUUUCACAUUCAACACAUGAUGAUAGCCAGCCAGUCUUUGAUUUUGAACAUGGUCCAUCUUGAGCUUUUGCAUAUGAUAUCUCAUUUUCUCAUGUCAGCAACAACAGUUGGUGGUCAGCUGCAUUUGAUUUUUCAAAAAGAUUCUGAAUUCU
rnacentral:sRNA from 1 species